GGUGUCUGGAUUUUGUUCACCUUAGCUGGCAGCUCUGGAAUCCCUGUCACCUGACCAGAAAGCAGAGCUGCUGCUGGAUCCAUCCACCGGUGCUCUUGAAAAUGUGACCGUGGUGAAAGAGGUGCUGAGCAGCAUUGUAAAAUCCCCAGAAGGGCAGCAGCUAGAGAAAUUCUUUGAAACGUUCGUGGAGGUCAGCAAGGAGAAACACAUCCCCUACAUCAGCAACGCUGAGGUCCGGGACGCAAUACUGAACCUGACUUUGACGGCUCUGGCUCCCAGAUUCCCUGUCUUCCAAACCAGUGACUACCAGCUGUGGUUCCAGAUAAAUCUGGUUGUAGUGCUGGCCAGCUUCCGUCCUGAGGUUCUAGUGGUGAUCCCCGCCAACCUCACCUGUGACGCUUACGAUGCAAUAUUGAAAGGCCUGGAGAACGCUUUGGCACUUCUCCCAUCUCAAGCUGCAGUGGAGCUGACGUCAAGCAUCGAUGAACUUCUACAGUCACCCC